ACAUACUAAUGACGUAAGGCUGAAGUAGAAAUUGACAAAAAUGGCCCUGUCACAGGGAGACUAUUAGGUGGGAUGGGACGAAACCCAUGUGCCCGGUGGGUCCCAUUGAUUGAUUGAGUCAACUCUGUAGCCAUCUGAUUGAAGAAACAGCCUUCUUAUCCUAAUCAAAGACAGAUCCACGUGUAACAUCCGUUGGAUGAAGAUCAAAAGGCGGUGGUGCGUGCGUCUAUUUCUCAGCCUAAUGUACCACAGCACAAUACCUUUUGGUUUGGACGUGACAUAAUCUAUUAAGAACCCACGCAAACGGAUCAAUGGGUUUCUGUCUAUAAUGAUAGAAUUAUUGGGUUUUAAUGAAUGUUGAAGGAAAAAAAUGAAGAAUAUUUAGGAAAAAAGAAGAAGGAAUCUACACCGCUGACUUGUUAUUGUGCUUUUUUCUAUUCUGAUGGCAAAAUCUAUAGUAAAGUGAUUCAGCUGCACAUUUUGUUAGUACAGGGUUAUUUUUUUUUUGGGUGUUUGAAAUCGAUUGAUAUACUGAACUGGGAUAAAAUUGGAAGAUUUGUAACGCAACGUGAUGAAGUUCAAAGAGAUGAUUUAUGAGCAGGGAAUAAAUCGAAAUCUUUGACUAAGACAAAGGGUUGCUAAUAAAGCAGAGAAAGAUUGCAUGAGGUAGAAUUUUUGAAGCGUCUUUUUCUCCUUGUCUUCCUAUUUACUGCAGCGACUCCUAAAUUUCAAUGCGCAUGCAACUGCGAUUGUCCAGUUCAAAAUGUUGACGUUCCUUGUGCGUGGAGUCCACACUAUGCACCACGUUGCCUCGACUUGGAAAAUUCCUUCACAACGUUCUCAAAUAAGCAAGGAGAUGAGCAGACAGGGAAAGGACGUGGAAGAAAGAUAAGAACACCACAUUCGAUACAUGAAAAUGAUGAUGAUUAAUAACUCAAGAGGGGAGUAAACAGUAAAUAUAAAAUGUUAUGAAGAGGAAGUGUUUGAGAAAAUGUCACAGAGGAAGUAAUUGAGAAAAUGUGACAGAAUUAAUAGCAUACGUGUUGUUUUGGGGAUUUUUGUUUGUAUGUGUUGUUUGGGUUGGAUGGUGGUGUUGAUUACUCAAUGAUAAAUGGGUGUGAAAUUGGUGGGGUUAGCUGCACCUUGGGCCAAUCAUCCGCCUCCAUAUCCAUUCACUCCAAUCUAGGUUAAUGCCCCACUACUACUACUACUACACACUAUACGAACCAUCUCUCCCAGUCCAACCCUCAAUAAUAGGGUAAUAAAUCCAAAAAGUUGCCCAUAAAAGCUUGUGUGUUGAGCUUAGUGAGAAAAUAGUUAAUCACCAAGCCACGUUCACAUACUCAGACAAACAAACCCCAUCAAACCCCUACAAUUUUUUCUUUCCCUCUUCCUCUUUAACCCACCAUAAAUCAAUAUGAAAAUUCCAAGAGCUUUGGAAACCGAGUUAGUGGACAUUUUGCCAUUCCCCACAAACAUGCCCUUAACUAUAUUAGACCAACAAUUUCAACUUCCCUUUUCUUUUCUUUUUCUUUCACAUGCAUAUUAUAAAUCAGAAUAAUAAUAAUAAUGCAGAACCAAAAGCUAAAAUCUCGCCUUUAUAUACGACCCAUCAUGUCACCCCUUGUUUGUCCCUAUGCUUACACACUCUCACUCUCUAUUCCAACUCUCAUUUUCUAAGCCUUAGCUUAGCUGUAGUUCCCCCAUUUCCAUUUUCUUCUGCUCUUCACAGCUUUGUCACUCAUCCAUUAUCACUCACAACUUUUUUUUCUUGACACCCCACCAAAAUGGCAUCUGGGACUACCACCAUGUCUUCGAGACUUCGAGGUGUGACGGUGAGAGAUGUUGGCGCCGUCGUGGACGACGGUGGUGUAGGGCAGAAGGGCAUGUCCGUAAAUAUGCAUAAAAGUUGAUGAUGAUGAAGGAAACAACGCAACACAAAAGCUUUGCAAUUGCACUCUCCCGAGUUUCUGGCUCAUCACAAUGUGAAGAAUUGGGAGAGUGUCAUCGUUGCAUCGCGGGGAAUUGAGGGGUGCGGUCCGAAUUACCUUUAACUUUAGGUUCUUAAAUUUUGUAUUUUACUUCUUCUUUCUCACGUAUUUGCCGCUGAUUUUUCUUUAUGUUAAUGUUAUGAUGGAAGAAUCAUGGGAUGUAAGAGAUGCAUACGAGGUUGCUUGUUUGGUUGUGGUGGUUUUGGUCUAAUGGGAGUUUUGUCUUGAGUUUGGGUGGUUUUUAGUUUAGGAACUUAUGCUUCUGGCAUGCAUCACUUACACCCAUCAAUGUAUUUUUUUUUUUCCUUUGUUGUGAGUUUUAUAUAAAGGGAAUGAAUGACUUUGGGUUUCUUAAUUUAA